rnacentral:rRNA from 1 species
UACAGAGGCCUCGAGCGUUUAGGCGGAAUCACUGGGCUUAAAGCGUGUGUAGGCGGACUUCUAAGUGCCUUGUGAAAUCCCACGGGCUCACCCGUGGAACGGCUGGGCAUACUGGGAGUCUUGAGCCACCUAGGGGGCUGCCGGAACAAAUGGUGGAGCGGUGAAAUGCGUAGAUAUCAUUUGGAACGCCAAUGGUGAAAACAGGUAGCUGGGGAUGUGCUGACGCUGAGACACGAAAGCCAGGGGAGCGAACGGGG